rnacentral:rRNA from 1 species
CCUACGGGUGGCAGCAGUGGGGAAUAUUGGGCAAUGGGCGCAAUCCUGACCCAGCCACGCCGCGUGAGGGAAGAAGGCUCUCGGGUUUUUAACUUCUUUUAUCAGGGACGCAGCAAGUGACGGUACCUGAUGAAUAAGCCACUGCUAACUACGUGCAAGCAGCAGCGGUAAUACGUAGGUCGCAAGCGUUAUCAGGAUUUACUGGGUGUAAAGGGCGUGUAGGCGGGAAAGCAAGUCAGAUGUGAAAACCAUGGGCUCAACCUGUGGCCUGCAUUUGAAACUGGUUUUCUUGAGUACUGGAGAGGCAGACGGAAUGCGUGGUGUAGCGGUGAAAUGCGUAGAUAUUAGGAGGAACACCAGUGGCGAAGGCGGCCUGCUGGAGAGAAACUGACGCUGAGGCGCGAAAGCGUGGGGAGCAAACAGGAUUAGAUACCCGGGUAGUC